rnacentral:tRNA from 1 species
GGGGAUGUGGCUCAGUGGUAAAGUACUUGCUCAGCAUGCAUGAGGCCCUGGGUUCAAUCCCCAGUACCA